rnacentral:tRNA from 1 species
AGGGUAAUAGUUAAUAAUAACAUUUAAUUUGCACUUAAAAAGUAUUGAUAAAUAAUCAAUUUACCUUA